GCACAGAACAGAAGGGGGAAAGAAACCCCAAAUCGCUGCUGACCUGCUGUUGUUGUUCGAGUCCGAGGGCAGGGGUCUUGAACUUGCUCGAUUUCUUCACGAAUCACGGCUCAUCCUCAGGUUGAAAUUGGGGGUGAAUUUUAGCCCUAAACUUGUUGAAAUUGUCAAUCUUCGACGAAUUCUUCUUGAAUCUUCAUAAGAUUAUGCUAUGGGAUUGACCGGUUGCUGCUGUGCCUGCUCUUGUUCGACUGCAAGCUGUUGCGCUACUUGUUCUGGUUUAAUUUAG
rnacentral:lncRNA from 1 species